rnacentral:rRNA from 1 species
CAGUAGCCGCGGUAAUACGAAGGGGGCUAGCGUUGCUCGGAAUUACUGGGCGUAAAGGGAGCGUAGGCGGACAUUUAAGUCAGGGGUGAAAUCCCAGAGCUCAACUCUGGAACUGCCUUUGAUACUGGGUGUCUUGAGUGUGAUAGAGGUAUGUGGAACUCCGAGUGUAGAGGUGAAAUUCGUAGAUAUUCGGAGGAACACCAGUGGCGAAGGCGGCUCACUGGUCCAUUACUGACGCUGAGGUGCGAAAGCGUGGGGAGCAAACAGGAUUAGAUACCCCUGUAGUCCCUGUCUCUUAUAC